CCUAUGGGUCUCUUCUCCUAUAGAGCAUCCCCUACUUCCUAUAUGUUUUCUCACUCUCUCACAUCAUUCUUUAGGGAACACUUUCCUAUUAAAGUAACAUUUUUGGUCUUUUUUAUUAUGAUUCUUUUGAUGAGAAAACAUUAUAGUUCAAGGAGCAUAUAUAUAAUUAUAUAUAGUAUAUAUGGGAGGUGUUGGUUGAAGAGGAGGCACUGGUGAUUGUUGUUGACAGAAGAUAGAGAGCACAGAUGAUGGUGUUGCAUAUGUGCAUGCAUCCCACUCCUUUGUGCUCUCUAUGCUUCUGUCAUCAUCACCUGUCAUCAUCACAUUUCUUCUGUGCAUGUAUGGGUUUUUUAUUUUUAUUUUUUAUUUUUUUUGGUUCUUUCAGUUUGCAGAUUUAUUACAGGACUAAGAGGAUGAUGAUGAUCUUCGUCAUGUUAUAAACUAUCUAAUUUGAUCUUCAACAUAUGUGGCUUACGCACAAAUUUGAAGAUAAGUCUUGGUGAUGUUUUUGUCAAAACAAUUCGGAUGCUAUGCUUUUAUAUGCAUGUUAGAUAUUACCAUUAAAGUGAUUCCCCUUAUCCAAAGGUACCACUUGCUUGUGGAAAAUUCUAUGUUUUUAUCAAUGGUAUAAUAGAGAAUAACAUGUAUAUAUAAAUAUAGCCGACGUAUUCAUUUUCAUAUUCAUUUUUCGGCUCUUAUUGAUCCAUAUUCAGUACUACCACCGCUCCCUUGAAAAUUCAAGCUUGGAGAUGGAAUUGCAAUAUCUGCAUUAACGCUAAUUAAUUUCUUUUUAGUAUUUUUUCAUGUACAUUUUAUGAAAUAUGAUUAAAGUUAUGAUGAUUUGUAACGGUUCAUUUGGAAAGCGGAGAGUCAAAGGUGGAUUAAGAUCAUCAGGAUGUGGACGUUAGAGGAGAAGAGAGAUUUGGACUUCUCAAACAGUAAUAAUGGGAGCUUGGUUGCUGCAGCAUAUAUACAUUGGAUGUCAGCAGAUCAACCUUGUAUAUAUAUUUUUUCAUCUAAUUGUUCGAACAGUAUAAAUUCUACGCAUUGUUAUAGUUUAACCACAUGUAAUUAUCUAGUUCAUUUGAUAAUGCAUAAUAAUAUACUGUCAAUUUCAUCUCUUUAUAUAUA